UGAAUCCUAUAAAACAAGUAAAAAGAACAUGAGCUAUAACUCUUGUGUUAGCAUUGAAAUUCCUUGGGCUUGGGUACUUGUUUUGAAAACCACCUUGUGGCCAGGGAACAGACAAUUAAAUUGCAAAAGAUUAAAAUCUAACUUUUCAAGCAUCCAAUUGCAGCUUCCCUAAUCAAAUUCCAGGGAGAGGAGACAGCCAAAGCAGAAAAGGUAGUGUUUUUUUUAAAAAAAAACCUUGAAUGAUUUCCGUGUCUUACUAUUUGGGGGAUCAGCUGAUUGCAGACAAUUACAAAUUGCCUUUAUUGCACAUUUAUCAGACAUGAUGGAACGUCACCUAUCUGGCAGGCAUUCUCCAAGCCCAUUUUUGACAGUUUUUAUCUUUCUCCUAGAGGAAGCACCAUCUGACCCCUACAGAAGGUCAACAACUUAAUUAUCCUAUUCAAGACAAAGCCACUCUGUGCACAGGAAAUGAAAGAGACCUCCUGACUGGAUGCUAACUGAUGUGGAUCGUGGAAAGAAAGGAAAUCCAGGCCCCCUUCCUGUCUUUCAGAAUACAAGGACUGCAGCCCGGUGAAUCUGUUUGGAAAAACAGUCCUAUAAAGGGCUUCAUACAAGGACAAACUCAGCCAUCGGAGGAGCCACCACACAAACAAAAGGGAAUUGGUCAGCUUCUGGAGAAGGUAUGGCGAACUGAAGGUGAUUCUGCAAAAACUAAGCUGAUGACCACAGCAAAGACCCAAGAAACACAAUGUGUUCUGAUGUUUCUAAUUAUCUAACUUAAAAGCUCCAAAGGCUCUGUGAUCAAAUGAAGCUUAAAGAAGGAAGGCAAAAUUACAAGAGACAACAAAGAAGAGAAAUCUAGUGAGGCUUCUUCUCCCAAGCUCCUCCAGGAAGUGAAGUUUGUUUUACCAGUGGUGGGAUUCAGUCGUUUCUGUCAGGUUUAGGCGAACCGGUAAUGGCGACUGCGGGAGGAUCUGCCCACCCAGGCGUAAUGUGCGAGUAAAGAGCAUGUGCGGAAGGCUGUGUGCAUGCACAGAGGAGGUGCGCUCACACUCACUUUUGCAAACCGGUAGGGAAGACAAAAUGAAGAUCAUCACCGACCUGGUGGUAGCGGGAGAAGAAAGUGGAAUUGGGGCAGGUAUUUCACAGAUCACCAUAUUAAUUGAUGUUUAUUCUCCAAAUGGUUUGACCACAUUUUCAUCUUAUUCCCACAUCAUCCAACAAUAACCAUCCACCCAUGCCUGAAUGCAUUCAUUCAUCAUUCUGGAGUAUAAAUUGGAACUACCAUUAAUCUAUGGAUUCUUACCGGUAUUUCCAUACAUCUACAACAGAUGCCACCAAUUAAUAUUUUCUGGAAUAUAAUUUAGUUCUUUUUUUCACUCACACCAUCUCUCCCCAUAUAUUUUUGUCGAUUCCACAAGAUCUGAUGCUCAGAGAUCUUGAAUAAAGGCUAAAUCCCAGCCUCUUUUUCAUAGUUUCUCAAACACUGCACAUAUUUAUUUUGUUUCAGUUAAGUAAUUAUUAAUUAAUUAAUACUGUUUACCUAAAUCUUUCAUGUUGCAAUCUCCGCAUGCCAAAUGGGCCUCUAAACACUUAUUCCAUAUGGCUGGACUGGCCUGAUUUUAAAUUUUAAUUGAAUUUUGAUGGGUUUUAAAUUUCUGUAAUUUUAUGGGGUGUAAUGUUAUUUUAAAUUUUUUGGCAAAUUUGAAUCAGUUUUUUAAGGGUUGUUUUAACUAUUGUGUAUGUUUCUGUUUGUAUUUUAUUUCCUGUUCACCGCCCUGAGUCCUUCGGGAGAAGGGCGGUAUACAAAUUAAAACAUUAUUAUUAUUAUUAAACACUGAUCUCUGCUGCCUAUCAUGGCUUUAAUUUUUUGAGGCUUUGACAUAAUGCUUUCCACCAAUCUAAAGACAAUGUAAGGUAAAGGUAAAGGUUCCCCUCGCACAUACGUGCUAGUCGUUGCUGACUCUAGGGGGCGGUGCUCAUCUCUGUUUCAAAGCCGAAGAGCCAGCGCUAUCUGAAGAUGUCUCCAUGGUCAUGUGGCCGACAUGGCUCAACACCAAAGGCACACGGAACGCUGUUACCUUCCCACCAAGGUGGUCCCUACUUUUUCUUGCAUUUUUACGUGCUUUCGAAGCUGCUAGGUUGGCAGAAGCUGGGACAAGUUGUUGGAAGAAAUAUCCAUCUGGGUUCAGUUCCAAGUGGGGACAAAGACACUGGAAACAUGGAGACUGCUUGGAAAGAUGGUUUAAUGGUGGUCACAUGUUCAAGGCGUUGGGUGAAGAACCAGAGAGGAAAGGAGAAGAAGAGAAGAAGAGGGGAGCAGGGUCGAAGGGCAGAAGGGAUGCUGAGUGCCUGAGUUUAUUCUCUCUGUAGGGCCCCACCUUGGUGUUUCCUGUUCCUGUAUAAGAAAUGUACCCUGAUUUGUUGUCAAACUCCCAGAUGGUCUAGGGGUCUUAGCUAAUGUUGUAGGUUGUCUCUCAAGCUUGCUUGAGCUUUGCCAUGUGGUGAGUUUCUGUUGCUAGAUGAGUCCUAUUGUGUUGCAAAUGAUGGUCCAUUGACAAAGGUGGGGGGAUUGAGUGAGCUUGGCUGAAGCCUUAAUUGCCCAUUGACAAAGGUGGGGGGAGUGAGUUUCUGUCUCUGACUCAUUGACAAAGGGGGGCGGGGAGGCAGGAAGCUGCUUUCUUUAAAACAGGUUUCUCAAUUUCUUAUCCAGGGUAAUAUAAUCUUCUGCCCUUUUUAAUAUUUUCUAAAAUAUUUCAUUCUUCUAGGAGAGGAGUGAGUACUAACUUCCUACAAAGUAAAGGGAGCUCACCCCGUUACACGGCAGCAUUAGGGAUUCGAACCGCUGAGCUGCCGACCUUUCGAUCGACAAGCUCAACGUCCUAGCCCCUGAGCCACCACGUCCCAUUCAACGUCCCAAUGUAGACUAAGUUAUAUUUGUGCCAUAUCUACAUCCUCUGCUAACAGCAAAAGCAAUACUGAUCAGUUUUGACAAAUUCUGACCAGCAUGCCACAAGCACAAGCAAGCACGCUCACUUUUGACGCAGUCUAGGAUUUCUAAUGGAGAGACUAUACUGCAAGUCAACUUACUGUUGCGUGUGUCCCUCUAACUAGGAUGUAGGUGCACUGUAUGUAUGUACACACACACACACACUAUCAUAUAGACCAGUAAUUAUUCUUUAGAGUUGCUAUUCAGCAUCAUUGUGAUAAAUUCUGCAACAGAUCCAAAAAAAUAGCAACUGUUUCAGAGUAACUCCA